AUAUUUUAAUUUUAAAGUCGAGUCAGCUUCGAGUGUGUCAACUCGAGUAGACUCCGUUACACCCUUUGUCUCAUAAAAAAAAAACUGUAAGCAUUUCAUCAAACACGUUAUAUGCAUGCACUGAAAAGAAAAGAACUCACAACACCCUGCUAAACAAAAAGAAAAUGCAAGCAAUAGUGCCAAUACGACCUCGUUUCACUGCCCUGUUAACUCAUCAAUGGCUUCAAAAACCUUCAAACAUCCGUGCUUUCUCCUCAUCCUCGUCCUCAGAUUGCUCGAAUCAGUCUCGCGGUGGCCUUCCUCGGUUCUUCUCUGAAAAUCUUCCGUCAACAAAGGGCGGUGUUGUUCGAGUACAAGGUGAUGAAUUUUGGCAUAUGAGCAAAGUUUUAAGAUUAACCACUAAUGACAGGGUAGAGCUUUUCAACGGGAAAGGAGCACUUAUAGAAGGUUGCAUUCAGAGUAUUGAUCGUGCAGGACUUGAUUUUCUAGCGAUUGAUGAUCCGAUAAUAAUUAAUCCACAGACAACAAAGUGGCAUGUUUUUGCUGCAUUUGGUAGUUUAAAGGGUGGUCGAGCUGAUUGGCUUGUCGAGAAAUGCACUGAGCUAGGGGCUCAUAGCGUAACCCCACUUCUGACAGAACGAUCCUCAUCAAUCUCGGAAAACCGUGUAGACAGAUUGCAACGUGUCGUUCUAGCAGCGACUAAACAAUGUCAAAGGUUGCAUGAAAUGGUUCUAAAUCCUCCGAAAAAAGUUGAAGCCAUUUUACCUCUUGUUGCUCAAUCAAAGCUAUCUUUUUUGGCAGCUGCAGAAGCUACUCCUGUUGUUAGUGUAUUGGCUUCAUCAAGAAAAGAGUCGAGUGGAUUGAUAAUAGUGGGACCAGAAGGAGAUUUCACAGAAAAGGAGGUGUCCAUGAUGGUGGAAGCCGGUGCUACAGCUAUUGGUCUCGGACCACUUCGACUACGUGUUGAAACUGCAACAGUGACACUUUUAGGAACUCUAAUGUUAUGGUCUGACGCUCAACAAUUCUCUUCAGAUUAGUUACAUUUCCAAGUAAGAAAAUGAUAUAGCUAUGCAACCGGCUUGCUUGAGGCUUGGAUGCUAGGCUUCUUUUACUCAGUAUGAACUUCAAGAACUUUGCGAAUGCAUGCUACUGGGAUUACCUUACUGAAAAUAGGUUUACUAGACGGUGAUACCGGAUAUGAGUGAAUACGUGUUCUAUUGUUUUUAUGUAUUUUAUACCCCAUCGAGCUGUGGCCGCCCUAGGGACCGAGUGGGUUUAUGGAAGUGGAAAUGAGCUUUACCGGCGGAGGUUUUUCUGCAGUUAUAGUUCAUUGGUAUAAACACAAAUAAAUUCACAAGCUACAAUUGUUUUGCGAUUUCUAACGUAGAUUUCUUAUUUUUGCAAUUUGAGACAAUUUUUUUUGCAAUGCAAAUCACCAUCUGAAAAUUGGGUUGAUU